AAACCAGGCGUGAUCUAUUUAAACAUGUAUAGCAUCACAUUUGCAUGCAGAAGUUUGUAUUCUUCACUCUCUGCCUCUUCUUCUUGACAAUCUCCCUUCCCACACUCUCCCUCUCUCUCUCUAGAUCUCUCUCACUCCUUAUUCUAGCUUUGUUUGCAGAGAUGGCUCAAAAGUGUCCCAACCCUGCUCAAGGAUGUUUCCCAAACCCUACUCAAGGAGGUAACAACCAAGCCCAUCAGGGAGCAAAGGAUGAUACCAAAGCAACUCCCCUUAUGCCAUGGUGAUUUCUCGGACCAAGCUCUUUUCUAGUUUUUUUUUCUCUUCUUUAUCAUAUCUUUUAUAUAUCUAGUCACUCCUUCACUUUGAUCCACUUCUGGGCAGUUGCGGAACCGUUCCGGACACCCAACAUACUGUGAUUGAAAGCAUUCACAUCUUAAGCUUCGUAGAGAAUUAAUUAAUAUGUCCCCGCAGAAAAGGAAAAAAAAGCUAUAUAUUUGGAUAUCAAUAGAUAUAUCAGUACUUCAUGUU